rnacentral:tRNA from 1 species
AAAAAUGUAGUUUAUUCAAAACCUUGCUUUGAUAGGGCAAAAAAGUAACAUAGGUUAUCAUUUUUA